rnacentral:misc_RNA from 1 species
UGCCGAACCUUCUCGCUCACUCCGUCCAGGUAACCUGCUUCUUGAACCUGUAAGGUUGAGCUUUCCACAACAGUUGAGACUGCAUACUCAGCCAUCUCUCUUCUGCGUAUGAUCAAGCACAUUUUCUGAACACUACAUAUAGAGGAUAUGAACUUUUUUUUUUUUCCCCUCCAGUUUUGGUAAAUAAAUGUGACUAGUUUUUAAAUUGCUGUGAAGCUUCUUUUCAAAGG